rnacentral:rRNA from 1 species
GGGGGGGGGGGGGGGGGGGGGGGACGGGGGCGGGGCGGCGUGGACUUCGGUUUGGGUGGCGGACGGGUGAGUAACGCGUACAGAACUUGCCUCACAGUUAGGGACAACAUUUGGAAACGACUGCUAAUACCUGAUAUUAUGAUUUUAGGGCAUCCUAGGAUUAUGCAAGCUAUAUGUGCUGUGAGAGAGCUUUGCGUCCCAUUAGCUAGUUGGAGAGGUAACGGCUCACCAAGGCGAUGAUGGGUAGCCGGCCUGAGAGGGUGAACGGCCACAAGGGGACUGAGACACGGCCCUUACUCCUACGGGAGGCAGCAGUGGGGAAUAUUGGACAAUGGACCAAAAGUCUGAUCCAGCAAUUCUGUGUGCACGAUGACGUUUUUCGGAAUGUAAAGUGCUUUCAGUUGGGAAGAAAAAAAUGACGGUACCAACAGAAGAAGUGACGGCUAAAUACGUG